rnacentral:rRNA from 1 species
UACGUAGGGGGCAAGCGUUGUUCGGAAUUACUGGGCGUAAAGCGCGCGCAGGCGGUCUUCCAAGUCAGUGGUGAAAGCCCGGAGCUCAACUCCGGAACUGCCAUUGAAACUGUUGGACUUGAGUACGAGAGAGGUGAGUGGAAUUCCCAGUGUAGAGGUGAAAUUCGUAGAUAUUGGGAAGAACACCGGUGGCGAAGGCGGCUCACUGGCUCGUAACUGACGCUCAGGCGCGACAGCGUGGGGAUCAAACAGG